rnacentral:misc_RNA from 1 species
GUGGGAGCGGGCUUGCUCGCGAAUGCGGUGUGUCAGUCACCAGAUACAUUGACUGACACACCGCAUUCGCGAGCAAGCCCGCUCCCAC